CAGGUACAUAAAGUGUACUGUUAAAUGUAUUUAUAGUUUAUUAGAAUUCCCACAAAAUUGUUUGUUGACAUAUACCUGAUAUUACUGCCUAAGUGGAGUCGAGUGUCUUUCCCUUUAAUUGAUGUGAUGUCAUGAGUCAAUAUAAUUUCCUGUUCUGUCUCCUCCUCUUCCUCUUUGCACUGGUGAUGCAGUGAGAGAGCUAGAGAGGGCGAUUCUCACUAAGAGGCUGAUUACAUUUUAUUUGUGCAUCAGAAUAAAAGAUCGCUGAAACUGC